rnacentral:rRNA from 1 species
GCGGUWMAAGCUCRRAUUUGAAAUCUGGUACUUUCAGUGCCCGAGUUGUAAUUUGUAGAAUUUGUCUUUGAUUAGGUCCUUGUCUAUGUUCCUUGGAACAGGACGUCAUAGAGGGUGAGAAUCCCGUUUGGCGAGGAURCCUUUUCUCUGUAAGACUUUUUCKAAGAGUCSAGUUGUUUGGGAAUGCASCUCAAAGUGGGUGGUMAAUUCCAUCUAAAGCUAAAUAUUGGCSAGAGACCGAUWGCGAACAAGUACAGUGAUGGAAAGAUGAAAAGAACUUUGAAAAGAGAGUGAAAAAGUACGUGAAAUUGUUGAAAGGGAAGGGCMUUUGAUCARACAUGGUGUUUUUUGCAUGCACUCKCCUCUCRUGGGCUUGGGCCUCUCAAAAAUUUCACUGGGCCAACAUCAAUUCUGGCAGCAGGAUAAAUCAUUAAGAAUGUAGCUACUUCSGUAGUGUUAUAGCUUUUUGGAAUACUGUUAGCCGGGAUUGASGACUGCSCUUCSGCWASGAUGUUGGCAUAAUGGUKAAAUGCCGCCCG